rnacentral:rRNA from 1 species
UACGGAGGGGGCGAGCGUUGUUCGGAGUGACUGGGCGUAAAGGGAGCGUAGGCGGCCUGCCAAGUCUGAUGUGAAAUACCGGGGCUCAACCCCGGGGCUGCAUUGGAAACUGGCAGGCUGGAGUGCCGGAGAGGCAGGCGGAAUUCCUAGUGUAGCGGUGAAAUGCGUAGAUAUUAGGAGGAACACCAGUGGCGAAGGCGGCUUACUGGACCGUAACUGACGUUGAGGCUCGAAAGCGUGGGGAGCAAACAGG